rnacentral:rRNA from 1 species
GAGUUUGAUCAUGGCUCAGAACGAACGCUGACGGUAUGCCUCAUACAUGCAAGUCGAGCGGGCACAGCAAUGUGUCAGCGGCGGACGGGUGAGUAACACGUGAACAAUCUGCCCCCGAAUUUGGGAUAACGGCUCCAACGAGCCGCUAAUACCGGAUAGGUUAUUCUGACCGCAUGGUCGGAUUAAGAAAGUUGCAAUUGCAACGUUCGGGGAUGAGUUCGCGGCCCAUUAGCUAGUUGGCGGGGUAAAGGCCCACCAAGGCAACGAUGGGUAGCCGGCCUGAGAGGGUGAUCGGCCACAUUGGGACUGAGAUACGGCCCAGACUCCUACGGGAGGCAGCAGUAGGGAAUUUUGCGCAAUGGACGAAAGUCUGACGCAGCAAUACCGUGUGAGGGAUGAAGCAUUUCGGUGUGUAAACCUCUGUCGAUGACGAAUAAAGCAUUUGGGAGUGGAAAGCCCAGGUGUUGAAGGUAGUCAGAAAGGAAGCACCGGCUAACUCUGUGCCAGCAGCCGCGGUAAUACAGGGGGUGCAAGCGUUGUUCGGAAUUACUGGGCGUAAAGGGAGCGU